AUCCAAAAAUUUUUAAAAAAAAAAUCGUUCUUCUGAGUUUGCUGAAGCCAGAUGCCGUUCCUGAGAGGG
ensembl:snoRNA